UACGUAGGGGGCAAGCGUUGUCCGGAUUUAUUGGGCGUAAAGAGCGUGUAGGCGGCUUGACAGGUCUGCUGUGAAAACUCGAGGCUCAACCUCGAGAUGUCGGCGGAAACCGUCUGGCUAGAGUCCGGAAGAGGAGAGUGGAAUUCCUGGUGUAGCGGUGAAAUGCGCAGAUAUCAGGAAGAACACCUGUGGCGAAAGCGGCUCACUGGACCACAACUGACGCUGAGGCGCGAAAGCUAGGGGAGCAAACAGG
rnacentral:rRNA from 1 species